GGGCGGGGGGUGACAAGCGGACGUAGCUAUUUAACCCCACGUAAAGACAACGUGACCAGCAAGACUCAGCUUCCAAUACCUCUUUGCAGCCCUCUCCCGAGGCGAGAGCUGCGGCUGGAUCUGCUCUUCCCUGGGUGGAUUGAUUUUGGUUUUCUUGCUUCCUUCGCAGCCAGCGUUCUGAGCUUCCUUUUCCUAACCUAGACCCUGGGGGUCUGGCUUUUCCCCCCUCUCCCUUUCUCUCUGCUGAAGCGUUAAUAGCUUUGAGGGUAGUUGGGGUGUGUGGUACCUAAAUCAUUCAGGAUGCAGAUGUGGGGCGUGUAGGAGGUAAAUACCCUCCUCCCCCCCCCACUCACUCCCCUUUCAUCUUUUCUUUCUGGGUUUUUUCCCCCUCUCUCCUCUUCUCCUGCUCAUCAAUCCACUCGCUGACUGAUGCACCGUGAGAAUUGCUGCACCGCCUGCCUUUGCUGGCAGCCUGAAAGUUACAGACACUCCCGGCGCGGGCGGCGGGGGACCCGAGCGCUCUGCUCCUAGGCAACCCUCCCUCCUUUAGCACCUCGGCCAAAAGUUCUGAACUUGGAAUAAAAGGGGGAGCGAGCCGGAAGAACAACCCGAGCCCCAGCCCAGCCCAGCCCAGCCAGCGUUCAGAGCUGCUCGUCUCGGCUUAGCAAGUUGUCUUCUAAAUGAGAGGGACCCUGCGAGGCUGGUGCUCGCUGUAGACUCUCUGCCGGCACUGCUGGGGGGGUUUCGGAUUAAACUGGGGCUUCCUCUGUGAUUUUUUCCCCACCCACCCCCCAUCGAACUCAGUGUGUGUGUGUGGGGGGGGGGGCGGACACCAAAGGCGUGAAAACAAAUCCUCCCUGCAGAUCAGGCCGAGCUCGGAACAAUGGACCCCAAUUCACUGCGGACAAUGACCGCUGGGUCUGCUGAUUGGAGUGCUGGACACGUUCACAGCGGCUCGGGCCGCUUUGGGGGACCGACAGCAACGGACUCCGGGCAGAGACGCUCCCUCCUCGCCCCUCGCUGGAGCUGUGAGAAAAUGGCGUGGAAGGGAGAGCAGGGAGCUCCCCGCCGCUCCCAGCGGCAGGCUGAGACCCGCUGACCCGCCGGAGGAGCCGCGGGAGUGGAAGCAGCUCGCCAGUCUGGCUCAGGCCGGCGUUCAGGGGCCGACGGCACCUGGGUACAAUGCGAUGGGCAACACAAGCCUCAGACUUUGCAGAGUGAUGCUCUCUGGCCCGGGUUGUGCAGGAAGUCAGCCUUUUGCAGAAGAGGAAGAAAACCAAACCACCGCCAACUCCGAGGGAUGCUGUUCUGCAGCAGUCCCAGCCAGAGAAGAGGGAUGGAAAGAAGCAUGCCUAGUUCAGGGGCGAAAUAAAGAACAUUGCAACAUGCAGGCUUUGAAUUUAACAUAGCCGACAGGGUUCUGUUCUCUAAGCUGGAUUGUGACCUACAGCACGGCAUGUAAGAACUACCUAGAUGCGUCUGUGCCUGCAACACACGGGCAAGAUGCAAACUUUCCACAGGCAUCAAUCAGGGACAGGAGAAAACAAACAGCAACUUGGCCCAGGAUCUGCCUAGAGACAGCGAGGGCUCAACAGAGGCAGGUUACGCUGCCCCAGGCCUAAGGUGGGCUGGACUUUUCCAGCCUAUGAGGAAUUGCCUGGUCAGGAAGAGAUUAAUGUCAUUGUCUUCCACCUGCAAUGCUUUGAGUGGCUCUAGACGAUUGGCUGGCUUGGCUAUAUAAUCUUUUGCAAAGAUGAAAAUCUGGGGGAUCCAGAAGGGAAGGAGCUACCUUACUGCCCACAUGGACGCAAGAGCCCCUUGGCUGUCUCUUGCAGAAGGACUUAAUGGAUCACAGGCUGUGUGCUGCUGGCCCUCUCUGCACUGCGGUGAUUUUCUCCCUAUGGGUAUAAACAGGUGGACCCUGCAUUCCCUCCUGGCUCCUAUCGGCAGAGACAGUACCCUGCAGGGGCAGCCAGCUUCUGUUUUGCUGUGUGAUGGGGUUAUUGCUUUUCUUUGCCUACGUGCCACGCUUGCCAAAAUGAUGCCCUCAGGAGUGUGUGGACAGCAUUCCAGAUCGCAUCAUCAUCAUCCCCUAAAUACCUAAAUAAAGUAAAUAAAGACUGCCACUUAAAGGGAAUCUGGCAAUUCUGCUUCAGCCACAACACGGCAGCUCGUGUUCACUUUGAAAAAUGCCUCAACGUUCCUGAAUCCCGGCCUGAAAUGACAACAUCCCCGUCCCCUCCAUCCAGCUCCACAGGCUGCUCUUGGGGGGCUAAUGCCUCAAGGCGCUUUCUCUGCCACCCCCACACAUGCUGAGGCAUGUGUGUGGGAAGAGCCAGCCUCCGCCAGCACCCUCCUCGGGAGCUCCAGUCUGCAUUCAGUCACCCAGCCAGGCCUCCGCUCAGCUGGCCGGAGCCUUUCCACUGGGAGCCCUCGCGCAGAGCAGCUGUUGGCGGCUUCUGGAGCUUUAGCCACCUGUCCAUUAACUAAUCAUCACCAGAGAUGGUUGGGCAUUUUUUUAUGAGAUUUGAUGGGGGGUGGAAAAUAUCCACGUGCCAAAAUCAAACCUUCUCACGGGGACAGGAAAUUCUGCCAUCCCGCUUGCCUGACACCGUCCCAGAGGGCUCCGCCAACCGAUUCCAUCCACUUCCGGGGGUCAGGCAGCCCUGGAAAGCAACUGACUUAGCGACGGAGAUUCAUGCUGCACAGCUCACGCCACCACAACUGUGCUUCUCUGGGGCGAAGUGGCGUGAUCAGAAGAUGUGAAGUUGGAUGACCGUGAAAGCCACAAGAAUGGCCCGUAUUUGCAAGAGGUUUCAUUUGAAGAUUUGUUUCGUUUCUCAAAUAAAAACAGUGACUAGCGUGUGGAAAGCGUCGAUGGGAUGAGAGGGGAGGGUCAUUUUUUUUUGUAAAUGGCCAAAAAAAAAAAAGAAGAAGAAGCUUGGCCAGCUGCUUUCUCAGUAGUAAGACAAGCUGUGCAUCUCCCCUCUGAGCAGAAAGCACCAAGGUAAACAGUCAAAUCCAGCGUGGGGGGUUGCAUUCUGCCUCCUAAAAUUACCCCUGUGGUUUCCACAGGAUACGGAUUAUUCCUCACUUCCUAUUCUAAGUGGUUGUAUAGUUGUAAUGAACCCCACUUGGGCCACUGGUGGGAUUUCAACUCAUAAACCGUGUUAAUGCUUAAGAUCAAAGACUAAAUCCAACAGCUGGAAGCCAGGGCAGGCUCCGUCUUUUAUGGUGCCUAGUCACUAGAGGGGUGACAAAAGGCCCACAGCCUACAAGCACGGGUUACAUAGCAUUGCUGUGUGCUGUUACACAGAUGCUGUGUCCCACCCCAAAGGCAUGUAUAAUUUGUGUUAUCAGUUUGUAAUAUGUCCCUAUGGAAUGAAAGUCACUAUUGGCCGUGUAAGUUCUUACAGUCCUGGCUGCUGCUGGGUGAGAUGUGUAUUAAAAAUAUGAAUUUGA